rnacentral:rRNA from 1 species
UGGGGAAUUUUGGACAAUGGGCGCAAGCCUGAUCCAGCCAUGCCGCGUGCGGGAAGAAGGCCUUCGGGUUGUAAACCGCUUUUGUCAGGGAAGAAAUCUUCUGAGUUAAUACCUCGGGAGGAUGACGGUACCUGAAGAAUAAGCACCGGCUAACUACGUGCCAGCAGCCGCGGUAAUACGUAGGGUGCAAGCGUUAAUCGGAAUUACUGGGCGUAAAGCGUGCGCAGGCGGUUUUGUAAGACAGAGGUGAAAUCCCCGGGCUCAACCUGGGAACUGCCUUUAUGACUGCAAGGCUUGAGUGCGGCAGAGGGGGAUGGAAUUCCGCGUGUAGCAGUGAAAUGCGUAGAUAUGCGGAGGAACACCGAUGGCGAAGGCAAUCCCCUGGGCCUGCACUGACGCUCAUGCACGAAAGCGUGGGGAGCAAAACAGGAUUAGAUACCCUGGUAGUCCACGCC